CCCUUAGAUGUUCUGGGCUGCACGCGCGCUACACUGAUGCACUCAACGAGUUUACGACCUUGCCCAAUAGGGUUGGGUAAUCUUUUUAAAAUGCAUCGUGAUGGGGAUAGAUUAUUGCAAUUAUUAAUCUUCAACGAGGAAUUCCUAGUAAGCGCGAGUCAUCAGCUCGUGCUGAUUACGUCCCUGCCCUUUGUACACACCGCCCGUCGCUCCUACCGAUUGAGUGCUCAGGUGAAUAAUUCGGACUGCAGCAAUGUUUGGAUCCCGAACGUUGCAGCGGAAAGUUUAGUGAACCUUAUCACUUAGAGGAAGGAGAAGUCGUAACA
rnacentral:rRNA from 1 species